ensembl:lncRNA
UUUUCUUUUUUUUUGUUUUUAAAUUUUUUUUUAAUACACCAUCAAGUUUAAGUGGCAAACAUGCACUUAACCUUAUAUGAACAUGUGAGCACGGAUAUUACCUUAUACAAAGAAUUAAAUUCACAGACAAAUAAGAUUGAAAUCUGGUAAUAGAUUCUUGGGCAAAACUUGGUCAUCAAGAAAUAUAGACAGUUGAAGUCAAAGAGUGUUUUGUAUAUAUGCAUCCAUAUAUAUUUGGAAGGGGGUAAUAAUUAAGUCCAAGGAGAAAAGGUUGUUACCUUUCACCCUUCACUAGCUCAGUUUACUUGGAACAUUAAACCACUGAGAUAUCAAAUGUGGAAAGGGUAAAUGUGCAGGUGCUUGAUGCUGCCUGCCAGUAAUGACAGAAACCCUUGCAGGGUGCACAAAUCAAAGCAUAAGAAUGAUUUUGAUUAAGAUGAAGGGAUAAAAACAGAGUGCUCACUAAAUCUAAUGAUACUGAUCGCUGUCUUGAUUUAAAUAUCUUUAGGGCAUUUAGGGCAGGAAUGGUGAUAACAGGCAUGAACUGGAUUAAUCAUUUCAGUCAGGCCUCCAAAGGCCAUCACUGGACCAGCAUUGUUCAGUAUGCACAGUCCAUACUCUCCCUGGCUUUAAGUGGUGCACAAGGAUAGGAUUUAUUCUGAGAAUUUCCCAUAAUGCUUCAUGUAUCUAGUGUAAAAUUCCUGUAUGAUUAUAGGUCCAGAAAUAAAACAUGGUCUCAGGGCCAGCAAAGGCUCCAAUAACAAAGCAAACCAAACAUUGUUGAUCAGCCAAUAGUGACUGACACCUGCUGAGCACUCACCUGCCUCUUGGCAUGGGCUGCUGCAAACUAGCACAGGCUGGUUUAGCCCUGCUAGAAAUUUUGCCUCCAUCACUGAUGUGCUUAGCUGCCCCUCUUCUAUAGCACCAGAGAGUAGCUGUGGAAGUCAGAGACCCUAUUACACCCAUAUCCACUUUGAUAUGCCAGAACCAUUAUUCUUCUAUCCAAUACAAAUUUUCAGCUGUUUUAUUCCUCUCCAGCUGCUGUCAUUCCAAGGUGUAAGUGAAAUGACGGAUGGGUGUUUCUCCUCUCAGGCACACAAGUGACUUUGAACAGCUUGGGUGGCAGUGCUGACAAACUUGAAGUGAGCAUGCAUCUUGCAAGAGAGGAAAAAAUGCAUGGGAGUGAACAUCUUAAAGUUCACUGAAACAUUUAAUAAAGAUGACAUUUCAAAAUUGUAGUAAGAUGCAACAGCAACAUCUACCAACAGCUACCUAUUAGUAUCUUUCCGAACCUUGGUGUAAGUGGUGUUUCUUCUUUAAAAAUAGCAGUUUCUGGAGACAUGCAAGUAAAAAUUCUCAUGUAUAUUAUUUGAAUUAUGUUCAAGCAUUGUAGCUAAAACUGAAAUGUUACCACAUGGCAUUGGACAAUAGAGCAUAAAGUAUAGGAUUCCACAUGACUUGGAAUUUGUAGAUUUAUGGAGCUGCUCAAGAUUUUUAAUAAAAGGAGAAGAAAAUAUUGUAUUCCACAAAGUGUAAGGAAAAAAAAUUGCUAAGCAGAAUAUACCUACUCUAGUGGUAGUGGGCAAAAUGGUAUGCAGCACCAAGCUGGAGCCACUAUGAACAGCUUUUAUGAACCUCUUACUAGUGAGAGCUCAUUACUUUAGUAAAACACCUGCAAUCAUUCAAACAUAGAAGGUUUAGGAAAUUGUAUUUUUUAAAAGGCAGAGCUCUAUAGCAAGGGAACAAUAAGUAAGUAUUCUAGAGUGUGGUGCCUUAUUCUGUCCUGUUAGAUGCUCCUUUUUAUGUUUUUCCAGACUAUAUGAAAUUAUAUGCUUGACUGAUAUUCAGCUCUUAAAAGGCACAGCCAUUAAGAUAUAUUAGCAUUGUCGUCUACAGCGUGAUGCCAUAUCAAAGGAAAAUAUAAUUUAAACUGUAUUUAUUCUCACCUCCCAUCAAUACUAGCUUGCAAGAAGAUUCUCUGGGAUGGAAGUUUACAUUUAUCAAAAUACUACCCAUUUCACAAGAAAGGUAAGUGCAUUUUUUCAUUUCUCCCAACCCCCACGUCGAGAUAAGAGUUUUACAUUUAAAAGAUUCUUUGAUGUACUAGACUAAAACAGCAACAAUGUUUCAUUGGGCAACAAACAAUCACUACUGCAUAAACACAAGCAUGAAGUUGAUGUGCUCCUUCUUUCCCAGUUCGUAAAAGUCAGCCUUAGAACCUGAGUCUUUAAAAGACAAAUUAGCUCCCUCUUUAAGCAAGGAAAGACUUAAGAAAGUGCCUUACUCACCAAAUAUUCUGCAUCUGAUGCAUAGUCCUGCUUCUUAGUAUUUUUAUGUUUAGUGCUGAAGGUAUAAGUCCAAGGCAUUAAUCAGAUAUUUCUGCCCCAAGGGUAUUUGGGUAUUGGACAGAAAUACAAUAUAUGUGAUGAAAGUCCUAUAUAAUAUAUGGAAAUGUUGAAUGGCAAAGCUAUUCAUUUUCUCCAGCUGGGGUCAAAUUUGACACCCACAUGAAUAUAAUGCCACUGCACAGCCCAAAUGACUCCAGCUCUAUCCACGGGACUAAUUGUAGCAUGGUCAAAUUGAAUAGGAAUGCAACUUUGAGCAUAAUGCAUUUCACAUACAAAAUAUUUUGAAUCAGCAACAACAACAAACCCAGAAACAGUCUAGUCCAUCCUAGUUAUUUGCUUGCAUUCAUGUUUUUAAAAUAUUUAAUACCAUCUUGAAACGGUUGAAAUAAAGUCAGAGAACCAAGAAAAACUGAUACAGCAGGCAGAGAAUAGUCAAAUGAAGACUGAAUGAGAUGCAAAAGUCAGCCUGACCACCUCCGACAGAAUGACCCUUGCUCUCGCAAGUAGAGAAACCAACACUGUGCUGCAGAGAGCAGUUAGAUGAAUUUAAGACAAGUGGAGCAAAUUUUUCACAUGAGCUCACGUUGCUUGAUCCCCCUGCAAUGCAUGACAAAACCACAUCAGAAUUUUUGUCAUGACACCUUGCUGAAAGCAACUGGAAUGCUCUGGAAAUCACAAUCUAGCUGCCUGUUAUAGUUAGGAAGGGCCAUACAGAGUUAGUGUCCCAGUUCCUGGGAGGUAUGCUGCUUUAUAGAAAGCUGAUUUUAAUCUGCUACUUUGAAGUGGUUGAAUAUGAACUGCUCACUUUCUUUCUUUGAAAGACACAGUGGAAAAUAUAAGUCUUUUAUAUUUGGAAUGGAAAAUAGACCUAUUUUUUGUUUUGAUAUCCAUUGUUAGAUGAGAAGUGCAUUAAAAAAUUAGGACAACUCAUCGUAUCUUAGUGGCGUACGAGCCCUGCCAGUGCCUGUCUUCUAAGUUUAAAUCAAAAACUGAAAUGCAAAGAGCAGAAAAAUAGUAACAUUUCCUUUCUCCAGCAAGAGCCCCAAAAGGACUGUAGGAGGUGUUAAUGAAAGAAUACAGAACAGACCUCUUCAAUAUCCCAUAUCUUGAGAAAUGCCAGAAUCUUCAAUCUCAAAGUCCAUUGAUAUGCUACAUAGCCUUGAUAUCCCUUCAUGUUCUGCCAUUUCAUGUUUUUUUGUGCUAGAAAAACCCAGGUUAAGGAAAGGCUAGAUACCGGUACUGCAAGUUUUCUGUAUUUAGCUGUGCGUGACUCCUAGUUCACCCUUGUCCCACAGGUUUGCUGAGAGUCAAGCCAAACAAUCAGGGAAUGAGGAAGAGUGAGAAAGAUAUAGGAAAGAGAAUUAAGGACUCCAGAAAGAACAUUAAAAAAACUAUUAUUGGAUUUGUGCUCAGGGAAGGAAUUUGCUUUUGCAAACUAGAGCACAAUAUUCAUGUUUUGUUUGAAGUUGUUUAUCUGGAAGUUGUGCUAGCCCCAAGAAAAACUUAAUAAUUCUUACCCUUCAGAUAAACUUAUAGGUUGUUUUCUAGUUUUGAAGGUGCUUUUAAAGUUGAAUUUUUUCACGCAAAAAAAUGUGUCACUAGCGUUGGACUGUACAGAUUUCUCAGCAGAAGAGAUUUCUGAAGAAAAAGAAACACUUGGAAACUGAUUUGACAGGCAAUUUUUACUGUAUAAAAUUAAUGGUAGCUGUUUGAAGCUGCACAUGUGUCUGAAACAUUAAAAAACCCACAGCUGAUUUUUUGAUCAGCACAGAAGAUCAAAAAAGCAUUACACUUUUGCCAAAUGGUUCCAAAGUGUGGGGAAAGGCUGCUUACUUCCAUGUAUGCAUUUUAAGUCCUAUUUGUAAGUUAACCAUACUUACUUUUCCUGACUUGGUAUUAAUUUUGGAAGCUACUGUAACUAUUCUGUUGCACUAACUCGUAUCUCACUUCUCCUCACAAUAUACAAAAAAGCGUCCUUUCUUCACCUUUUGCCUCCUACAAUGGAUAGAUUUCAUCAUAUCAUGGAUAAAGACUGUAUCUCACUACACCUUUUUCCUGGAUGUUCUUUGAAAUCAAAAGACUUCAUUAGAAAAAGUAAAUCUCUUAAGAGUAUAAGCUGUUAGUGAGAGCAACAGUAAGAGCCAGGGGCAAACAAUUUGCUGUGCAGGUCGCUCCUGCAGAUUUCAACACUCCUAUACACUGCAUACCCACAGAGAGGCAGACAUUAGCACUGCUGUGAGCCUCAAGGCUGCACUGCUUCUUAGUGGAAAAUGAUAUAGCAUUAAAAAUGAGUUCUUUCAUCUUGUAUUUCCUCAGUAGAUUCUUUUAUUGUGGUGAUAAAUUUGGAACAAUGAGAUUAUUUGAUUAAACUUUCUCAGUCACUGCUGAAUGGACUACCCUGCUUGUAGAAUUAAUAAAAAGGCCAAGACACCUCAUUAACAUGCUUGGUAUUGAGCUGGAUUGGCAGCAGCACAGCUUAAUCCUGCCAAAAGCCAUUUGCUGAAGAAAGUCAGAAAGCUUUUAAAUCAUAUUCUUAAAGGUUGAGUCAGGAGAAGAUGACCUUGCAAAAGCUGUAGUCCUAACUGUCCAGACUUCCCUUCUGCCCAUUCAUGCUGAGCUGCUUACUGCACAGAACAAUAUGUUAAAUAGUAUGGUUUCUUCAUAUGCAAUUCAUUGGAUCAGGCUUUAUUUUGCUGUUCAUGGUGAUUGGAAAGCUACAUACAAAAGCUUAGAUUUGAAAAAGCCACAUGUGCCAAUGUCCUCUAGCAGGGUUUUUGUGUUUUAGUUGUUCUUUUUUCUCUUUUUUUGGUAGCUGGAACUAUGCUAGCAUCACUUGAUGGUCCAAAGGUACAUUUUCAUUUACAAGAAUUGAUACAGACGUACCACACCACUUUAACUAUUGCCUCACAGCCUGUAUAAGCAAAUACAGCUCAGAAAGACAUGCACAAAGUAGAAGAAAAGCAUGUGUACAUAAUCAUGCCUAUCAAAACAUCACAAAGAUCAAGAUAAAUGACAUCAUUGUUGUUUAAAAUCAUUCAUCUCUGGCACAAUAACUAUAGAAAGAUUUAUUGUGAAGUAAAUUGCAUUACAGUCCUAAUACACAACGGUGUAUAAAACAGAUCUCAACCUUCUGUUUUGGAAACACUGCUUAGAUUACUUACUUAAAUAUGUAAAGUGAAAGUCUCAAGUAGUUAAAACAUUCUUUAUCUCUGGUGACCUAGAUGGAAAUAGUUUUUUUCUAUGUAAACACAAGCAACUGCAUUUCUCAACUAGAAAUACACUAGUUUCAAGUAAUUAAAAUUUAUGGCAAAGUUAUCCUCUAAGCUCAAUUAACCUACUUCAUACCAGUGAACUUCACCAGCUUAGUAGAGUUGCUUCCAAUGUCUAGUCUCUGAACUCACAGGUAGGCUCUCAUUGUGAAGGGUGACAUUUUUGUGAUCAAUCACUUUAAUGUAUUUUCAGAAGAAAUGUGACCGCAAGAAAUUUUAUUGCAAAUAACUUAUUCUAUUUUUGCUUAAGCUAAGCACAUAAGAAUGUCUUAAAAGUUCAUAGAACCUUGUGUUCCUCUCUUGGUAAUGUUUCUUCUAAAGUGCAUUUUUAUAUUACUUUUUCUAGGGUACCUUUUUUGGUGUUGGGUUUUCUUUGUAUAAAGGUUUUCCUUUGCUGGCCCUUGCAAAAUUCCUAUUAAAGUAAAAAUAGGGAAUAUGAGAAAAUUAAAAGAAAAAUUGAGCCCUAUUAACAACAUGAUAAAUAUGAGGAAGGCAAAUUAAAACCAUACAUGUAGGAAAGUAAGAGAUCAGAUUAUGCUUAUAUAUCUUCAUCAGAAAAGGGACACUCACCUUAUCUGUCUUGUAAUACAAAUAUUGUCCUUGAAAGAGUAAUGCAAAGACAAAAUUACAAGUUUUCCUAAGACAGAGAACUCCAUGGCACUUCAGAAAAUGACAGUGCUGUGUGAAACAGAGGAUCUGUAGGAAUGUUUCCUCCCACAGUCUUCUUCAGGUCACUGUGAGGUUUUUUAUUUGGCUUUAGAAAUAAGUAAAAAUGUUAGCUUUGACAUUUAGAAUCUGUAGUAAAUAGAGAAAACAAGGAUAUUGCAAGCCUCCCUGAAUGGAUUUUUUAAUGCUUGCCAGAAAUAAAAAUUUUAGUUGUAUCAAAUAGCUAAAAGUGAAAUAAAUAAAUAAUUUUUAUUUUAUUGUUCUCCUGCGGUUGAGAUUUCACACAUAAAAAAGUUGGAAACCAGCAACUUUGUAUGCUUUACAGUGCAAUGAAGAUGUAAUUUGCACCUUCUGUACCUCACAUGGAAUUUUUAUAUUGCCUUGGAUGCACUUUCAUAAACAUUAAAAAAGAAACAAAGUAGCCCAAAUAAAACACAGCCAUUGUUACUUCCUGAACACUGAGCUACAGAUAGUGUUUUGCAAUCCCCAGUACUCAUACAAAUCUGUAAUAAGGGUUUUAACCCUCAGCUACUACUAAAAUUAUUGUCUUGUAACCUUAAAUAUAUUUCUCUACUAAACCAAAACAAAUUCUCAUCACAACAUAUUUUAGCCUGGCUUUUGACAUCACUUAGGGAGAAAAUUUGUAUUUAUUCCUUUUGUUGUCAUAUAUAAAAGAGCCUUUUUUUGUGGCUUCUCCUCCCACCUGCUGAAUUGUGAGUUACUAUGAUACCAUUCAAGACAAAAGCCCACCCACACAAUGCAGUUAUUGAGGUGGCUGUUCCAUGUCUCUAAUUCACUUUGGCUGCAUUAGCCCAUAAAAAACGACCAGGCCCUUGCAGAGCCAGGCUCCCUUCCCUUCCUCCUCCAGUAGUUGUGGAUGUUCUCCGCUUUACCUGGUAUAAUAUUCCUCAAUAUUAUAUACAAGCAGAGAUACUGCAGCAUACAGAAGCCAUUUUUUAAGCCUAAUUUCAACAGCCAAAUUUUAAAAAAACUCAGCAGAAAUAUUCAGCUCUGCUCAUGACUUUGAAGAGAUACACAACAAACCUGCAAUUUACCAACAGCAGUUUUCCAUCCUAAACCAAUAAUGUGCUUUGCUUAGGCAUGUUUGCUGCAGCUUCCAUGAGCAUUAUGGAAGUAACGGGACACACACAUCAAAGCAUGGAUUCAGUCUUGUCCAUCUCUUUACCAUAGCAGAGACAUCAAUCUCCAUUGCUCACUGGCAGCAGUUAUUUCAUGUGCCAGGAAAAAUCAUGCCAGCAAAAACAGACUCAGUAUUAGAUUUUGAGGGAAGUGUUGCUGCUAUUGCUGCUAUUAUACCAUUUAAUGUUUUGUAUUGCAUUAGUCAAUAGCUACCUCUUUAUUUGCAGCUUCCUUGCUUUUUCCAUUUUAUUACAUUUUAGUUGUCAAACAAGAUUGAAAGGAAAUAAAUCCUGGGGCUUGUGUAAUGGCUUAUUUUCCCUUUUCUGAAUGCCCAUUCUCUGGUUAAGUAUGAAGGCUUUUUUCACCCCCCUCCAGAGAUAUCAUUUCUUCUGAUGAAAUUUAAUUACUCUUGAUUCUCAUGCUUUACUCAUGUGUGCUCAUCAGCUCUAUGGCCGAUGAGACAGCUCAGAGCUUCAGAGUGUUAUCUGUAUCAUACCUUUCAGAAAUACAAUUUUUAGCACUAACUUUCAGAGAGGUUCUUUGGUGACAUUUUGUAAAGAUUAAAAUUAAGCACAAAAGAGAUUUCUAUGCAGCCUGCAAUGCAGAGGGGUGUUAGGAGGAGCACUGCUUGCCUGCUUCCAUGGCUCCAAUUUCACCACAUGGACUCAUAGGAUAUAUUGAGUUGGAAGGGACCCACAAGGAUCAUCAAAGUCCCACUCCUGGUCCUGCACAGCACCAUCCUCAGGAAUCACACCAUGUACCUGAGAGUGCUGCCCCAAUGCUUCUUAAACUCAGGUGGGCACAUGAGUGAGGCAGUCAUCAAAAUGACAAAACAGAACCACUCAAAUCACAAGGGAAAAGUAAACAGCACCAUGAAAAAAAAAAAAA